AGUCGAACGGUAACAGGUCUUCGGAUGCUGACGAGUGGCGAACGGGUGAGUAAUGCAUCGGAACGUGCCCAGUAGUGGGGGAUAGCCCGGCGAAAGCCGGAUUAAUACCGCAUACGACCUGAGGGUGAAAGGGGGGGAUCGCAAGACCUCUCGCUAUUGGAGCGGCCGAUGUCAGAUUAGCUAGUUGGUGGGGUAAAGGCCUACCAAGGCAACGAUCUGUAGUUGGUCUGAGAGGACGACCAGCCACACUGGGACUGAGACACGGCCCAGACUCCUACGGGAGGCAGCAGUGGGGAAUUUUGGACAAUGGACGCAAGCCUGAUCCAGCAAUGCCGCGUGCAGGAAGAAGGCCUUCGGGUUGUAAACUGCUUUUGUCAGGGAAGAACUCUUCUGGGUUAAUACCUCGGGAGGAUGACGGUACCUGAAGAAUAAGCACCGGCUAACUACGUGCCAGCAGCCGCGGUAAUACGUAGGGUGCGAGCGUUAAUCGGAAUUACUGGGCGUAAAGCGUGCGCAGGCGGCUUUGCAAGACAGAGGUGAAAUCCCCGGGCUCAACCUGGGAACUGCCUUUGUGACUGCAAGGCUAGAGUACGGCAGAGGGGGAUGGAAUUCCGCGUGUAGCAGUGAAAUGCGUAGAUAUGCGGAGGAACACCAAUGGCGAAGGCAAUCCCCUGGGCCUGUACUGACGCUCAUGCACGAAAGCGUGGGGAGCAGACAGGAUUAGAUACCCUGGUAGUCCACGCCCUAAACGAUGUCAACUGGUUGUUGGACGGCUUGCUGUUCAGUAACGAAGCUAACGCGUGAAG
rnacentral:rRNA from 1 species